UACGUAGGGUGCAGGCGUUAAUCGGAAUUACUGGGCGUAAAGCGUGCGCAGGCGGUCUCUUAAGACAGGUGUGAAAUCCCCGGGCUUAACCUGGGAACUGCAUUUGUGACUGCAUGGCUAGAGUGCGGCAGAGGGAUGGGGAAUUCCGGGUGGAGUGGUGAAAUGCGUAGAGAUCCGGAAGAACACCAAAGGCGAAGGCACCAUCCUGGGGAGUCACUGACGCUCGGGUGCGAAAGCUAGGGGAGCGAACGGG
rnacentral:rRNA from 1 species